CAAAUUUUAACAGAAUCUUCCUCUCAAUCUCCUCUACAACUUUCAUGACCAACACAAACUCCAAUUCUAAGCCUAACCAUGUCAAUCGAACACAAACAACCAUAAAUCCCUAAAACUUUCAAUUAUACAAACCACCCUAACGAAAUCGAAUUAAGCCGAAACCUUUUGAGGGAUUACUCACCUAGAUGAGGGCUACAAGUUGAGCCAAAAAUCACGACCUAUGGUGGCCGGAGGACGGAGCUCCGGCGAAGACACAGUCGGCGGUUCCGGCGGCUUUUUCUCCUCUCCGGCGGGUUAGAGGCUCGGGGGCUAGGCCGGGGAGGGAGAGGAGGUGACGGGGGUCCGAUCUGGGCUGGAGCGGCGGCAGCUGGUGGCCGGACGGCGGCGGGAGGACGGCCGGAAGUCUGCUGGGUGUAGAGAGAAAAAACUCGGGUGGGAAGAGAAGAAAAAUCGGGAGGAAGAGAGAGAGAAAGGAAGAAGAAAUGGGUUGGGCUCAGCCCAGCCGACCCAACUCUCCUUUUAAUCCAAAAUUCAACACCCCGAAAAAUAAUACCCGAAUAAAAAUUACCUUUUACUAGCUAAAAUUUACUAUUUUUACCGUCGUCGUAUUUCUUCAUACGAAUUAUCCUCCGCACAUAAUCGUCCCCGAAACCCCUCUAGGGACCAAUUAAACUAUUUACUCAAUGACGGAGACGGUAAAAUUCUUAUUAUAAUCACGCUAGUAAAUAAGGUAAAAAUAUAAGGGUCGGGAUGUGACAGCUCUAGCUACCCAUGACUUUGAUAUCAUCGGCUAGACAUUGAUUUUCGUUCCAAGUUAUAUGUACUAAGGCGUUGUAUCGACGUCCUUUGUCUAUUUGAGACCUCGAUGUACUCACAUUAGCAAUAAUGAAUGCCUUGAGAAUUUUUCGAAGUGAAACUAUUCUCCUCUUAUGGUUCAUAUUGAUUUACAAUCAAGAUGUACACUUACAUCGUCCUUAGAAACAUGGCAUAUUGUGCCGAUUUUGGUCCCUUCCUUUGAAGGUGACUCAUGGCACUGCAUCCUCAAGGAGGAUCGUCCACGUGUUUCCGGUUAAGUCUUCUACCCUAUAGUGGAUUUUUCAUCAUCAAUUGUUCAACUAGGCUCAUCCAAGCUCAGUGAUGUCUUAGAAUUAUCUAAAAUUAAGGAGAUAGUGGUUUUAAGUGUGCCUCGCACUACCGACCCUCCACGGACAUGCCUGGUCAUACUGACUUGGAGUUACCGAAAGCUUUUGAUUUUGGAUCCCCCUACGCUAUUAAACCAAUUGCCGUCUUGCAAAAGACGUUGAAAACUUAUCAAAGCUGGAAAAUUAUCAUCAUAAUCGGAUCCUCUAGGUCCUCUGAGUUAGUUUAUGUUCAUGAGGGAGCUUUUGCUAACUAGUCAUGGAGUUUACGACCUUAGAACGAUCGAAAGGACUUGGUUUUGAUCAGACACACGUCACUUUUGGCUAAGGCGAAAGCCUACACGCCACCUGCAAGCUUCACAGCUUCGCACAUGCCAAAUCUGCGAAAAACAGCAAUCUAUCCCUUCUGGACAAUCAACUUCGUUUGAGCUUUGUGAACAGCUCCGGACGAACCAGACAGUGAGCUUUAUAUCAUUGGAAAGCUCUAGGAGUCUAGUUUUCAGAACUUUUCACGGUUCGUUCAUAUCUAUUUUAACGAAGACGUUAUGGCUGUUUUAGUGCGCAAAGGUCAUUCUGCGCGGAAAUUUUUAUGCACUCUCGGGAUUGCAACUUUUCGUAGCUUCUUUCAAUCCUUCUAAAUGGUUCAAGUAGAACUAUUUACUCGCCUAUCUACUCCUUGUAGUUAUGUCUCAUAGAGACAUUGAGUGCUUCGCAGAUAGUGGAACUAUCCACAACAUUCUAAGGAACCAUGUUGAGCUUUAAAGACAUUCAUGCUAAUGGUUUUCAUUUGAAAACACAUUGUGAGAAUGAACAAGAAUUCUUUUGUGUAUACCUCCUCAUGAAUGUGAACUGAAGCGCAUCUUGGAGAAAUUCAUGAGUCAAUCUAGUGAACUAUAUGUCACUACGAUUCGAAUNNNN
rnacentral:lncRNA from 1 species